rnacentral:rRNA from 1 species
UACGGAGGGGGCGAGCGUUGUCCGAAGUUACUGGGCGUAAAGAGCGCGCAGGCGGUCGUUCAAGUCGCGUGUGAAAGCCCCCGGCUCAACUGGGGAGGGUCACGCGAUACUGAUCGACUCGAAGGCAGGAGAGGGUAGUGGAAUUCCCGGUGUAGUGGUGAAAUGCGUAGAUACCGGGAGGAACACCAGUGGCGAAGGCGACUACCUGGCCUGUUCUUGACGCUGAGGCGCGAAAGCUAGGGGAGCAAACGGG